rnacentral:rRNA from 1 species
GAGUUUGAUCAUGGCUCAGGACGAACGCUGGCGGCGUGCUUAACACAUGCAAGUCGAACGAUGAAGCCUAGCUUGCUAGGUGGAUUAGUGGCGAACGGGUGAGUAAUACGUGAGUGACCUACCUUUGACUCUGGGAUAAGCCUGGGAAACUGGGUCUAAUACCGGAUACGACCAAUCUCCGCAUGGGGUGUUGGUGGAAAGCGUUAUGGAGUGGUUUUAGAUGGGCUCACGGCCUAUCAGCUUGUUGGUGAGGUAAUGGCUUACCAAGGCGACGACGGGUAGCCGGCCUGAGAGGGUGACCGGCCACACUGGGACUGAGACACGGCCCAGACUCCUACGGGAGGCAGCAGUGGGGAAUAUUGCACAAUGGGCGCAAGCCUGAUGCAGCGACGCCGCGUGAGGGAUGACGGCCUUCGGGUUGUAAACCUCUGUUAGCAUCGAAGAAGCGAAAGUGACGGUAGGUGCAGAGAAAGCGCCGGCUAACUACGUGCCAGCAGCCGCGGUA